rnacentral:rRNA from 1 species
AUUGAACGCUGGCGGCAGGCCUAACACAUGCAAGUCGAACGAGUGGCGGACGGGUGUGUAAUGUCUGGGAAACUGCCUGGUGGAGGGGGGUAACUACUGGAAACGGUAGCUAAUACCGCAUACCAUCAGAUUUUCCCAGAUGGGAUUCGCUUGUGGGUGGGGGAACGGCUCACCAAGGCGACGAUCCAUAGCUGGUCUGAGAGGAUGACCAGCCACACUGGAACUGAGACACGGUCCAGACUCCUACGGUAGGCAGCAGUGGGGAAUAUUGCACAAUGGGCGCAAGCCUGAUGCAGCCAUGCCGCGUGUAUGAAGAAGGCCUUCGGGUUGUAAAGUACUUUCAGCGGGGAGGCGUUACCCGCAGAAGAAGCACCGGCUAACUCCGUGCCAGCAGCCGCGGUAAUUC